AAAAAAAGGGGCGGUUUGACCCGCCCACAUUUUUCCCUAAUCCCUUUAAUCCUAUUCAUCGUCCUGAUGAAUCGCGUCCUGCGAUGUCCUU
rnacentral:misc_RNA from 3 species